rnacentral:rRNA from 1 species
GAUGAACGCUAGCUACAGGCUUAACACAUGCAAGUCGAGGGGCAGCGCAGUGUAGCAAUACAUGGGCGGCGACUGGCGCACGGGUGCGUAACGCGUAUCCAACCUUCCCGUUACUCAGGGAUAGCCUUCCGAAAGGGAGAUUAAUACCUGAUGGUGUUUGAAUUCCGCAUGUUAUUCAAACUAAAGAUUUAUCGGUAACGGAUGGGGAUGCGUGACAUUAGAUAGUAGGCGGGGUAACGGCCCACCUAGUCUACGAUGUCUAGGGGUUCUGAGAGGAAGGUCCCCCACACUGGAACUGAGACACGGUCCAGACUCCUACGGGA